rnacentral:rRNA from 1 species
UACGGAGGGUGUUAGCGUUGUUCGGAAUUACUGGGCGUAAAGCGUACGUAGGCGGAUUAGUAAGUUGGGGGUGAAAUCCCGGGGCUCAACCCCGGAACUGCCUCCAAAACUACUAGUCUUGAGAUCGUGAGAGGUGAGUGGAAUUCCGAGUGUAGAGGUGAAAUUCGUAGAUAUUCGGAGGAACAGCAGUGGCGAAGGCGGCACCCUGGACUCAUACUGACACUGAGGUGCGAAAGCGUGGGGAGCAAACAGG